rnacentral:rRNA from 1 species
GAUGAACGCUGGCGGCGUGCCUAAUACAUGCAAGUCGAGCGAACGGACGAGAAGCUUGCUUCUCUGAUGUUAGCGGCGGACGGGUGAGUAACACGUGGAUAACCUACCUAUAAGACUGGGAUAACUUCGGGAAACCGGAGCUAAUACCGGAUAAUAUUUUGAACCGCAUGGUUCAAAAGUGAAAGACGGUCUUGCUGUCACUUAUAGAUGGAUCCGCGCUGCAUUAGCUAGUUGGUAAGGUAACGGCUUACCAAGGCAACGAUGCAUAGCCGACCUGAGAGGGUGAUCGGCCACACUGGAACUGAGACACGGUCCAGACUCCUACGGGAGGCAGCAGUAGGGAAUCUUCCGCAAGGGGCAAAAGCCUGACGGAGCAACGCCGCGUGAGUGAUGAAGGUCUUCGGAUCGUAAAACUCUGUUAUUGGGGAAGAACAUGUGUGUAAGUAAGUGUGCACAUCGUGAGGGUACCUAAUCAGAAAGCCACGGCUAACUACGUGCCAGCAGCCGCGAUAAUACGUAGGUGGCAAGCGUUAUCCGGAAAUUAUUGGGCGUAAAGCGCGCGUAGGCGGUUUUUUAGUCUGAUGUGAAAGCCCACGGCUCAACCGUGGAGGGUCAUUGGAAACUGGAAAACUUGAGUGCAGAAGAGGAAAGUGGAAUUCCAUGUGUAGCGGUGAAAUGCGCAGAGAUAUGGAGGAACACCAGUGGCGAAGGCGACUUUCUGGUCUGUAACUGACGCUGAUGUGCGAAAGCGUGGGGAUCAAACAGGAUUAGAUACCCUGGUAGUCCACGCCGUAAACGAUGAGUGCUAAGUGUUAGGGGGUUUCCGCCCCUUAGUGCUGCAGCUAACGCAUUAAGCACUCCGCCUGGGGAGUACGACCGCAGGGUUGAAACUCAAAGGAAUUGACGGGGACCCGCACAAGCGGUGGAGCAUGUGGUUUAAUUCGAAGCAACGCGAAGAACCUUACCAAAUCUUGACAUCCUUUGACAACUCUAGAGAUAGAGCUUUCCCCUUCGGGGGACAAAGUGACAGGUGGUGCAUGGUUGUCGUCAGCUCGUGUCGUGAGAUGUUGGGUUAAGUCCCGCAACGAGCGCAACCCUUAAGCUUAGUUGCCAUCAUUAAGUUGGGCACUCUAAGUUGACUGCCGGUGACAAAUCGGAGGAAGGUGGGGAUGACGUCAAAUCAUCAUGCCCCUUAUGAUUUGGGCUACACACGUGCUACAAUGGACAAUACAAAGGGCAGCGAAACCGCGAGGUCAAGCAAAUCCCAUAAAGUUGUUCUCAGUUCGGAUUGUAGUCUGCAACUCGACUACAUGAAGCUGGAAUCGCUAGUAAUCGUAGAUCAGCAUGCUACAGUGAAUACGUUCCCGGGUCU